rnacentral:rRNA from 1 species
UACGGGGGGAGCAAGCGUUGUUCGGAUUUACUGGGCGUAGAGGGCGCGUAGGCGGCGCAACAAGUCACUUGUGAAAUCUCCGGGCUUAACCCGGAGCGGUCAAGUGAUACUGUCGUGCUAGAGUGCGGAAGGGGCUACUGGAAUUCUCGGUGUAGCGGUGAAAUGCGUAGAUAUCGAGAGGAACACCUGCGGCGAAGGCGGGUAGCUGGGCCGACACUGACGCUGAUGCGCGAAAGCCAGGGGAGCGAACGGG